rnacentral:rRNA from 1 species
GGAACCUGCGGAAGGAUCAUUACAGAAUGAAAAGUGCUUAACUGCAUUUUUUCUUACACAUGUGUUUUUCUUUUUUUGAAAACUUUGCUUUGGUAGGCCUUCUAUAUGGGGCCUGCCAGAGAUUAAACUCAACCAAAUUUUAUUUAAUGUCAACCGAUUAUUUAAUAGUCAAAACUUUCAACAACGGAUCUCUUGGUUCUCGCAUCGAUGAAGAACGCAGCGAAAUGCGAUAAGUAAUAUGAAUUGCAGAUAUUCGUGAAUCAUCGAAUCUUUGAACGCACAUUGCGCCCUUUGGUAUUCCAAAGGGCAUGCCUGUUUGAGCGUCAUUUCUCCCUCAAACCCUCGGGUUUGGUGUUGAGCGAUACGCUGGGUUUGCUUGAAAGAAAGGCGGAGUAUAAACUAAUGGAUAGGUUUUUUCCACUCAUUGGUACAAACUCCAAAACUUCUUCCAAAUUUCGACCUCAAAUCAGGUAGGACUACCCGCUGAACUUAAGCAUAUCAAU